rnacentral:misc_RNA from 1 species
UUCCCCCUGUUCAUUUCAUUUCAAAAAAAAAAACCAAAGCCAAAAAAUAAUAAAUCAGUGGAGAGGUGAAAUCACAGAGAGGCUGAUUGAAAUAGUAAAUAUGGAAGUUUGGGUCUGGGUUUUUGGCGAUUUUACAGAAACUAUUACACACUGACGAGAUGAGAGAAGAGAGAGAGAGACGAUCUGUAAGAUGGCGGUUUGUGGGUUUUGGAAUUUUGGAAGUUGGGUAUGGCGAGUGUGAGCAUGUGAUUUUG